GAUAUUCUCAAGAGCACCUGGAAGACUUACAUAAAUGACCUCAAUUUUAACCUGUUUGGACUAGAUUAGUGUGAUGGAAAAAAUGUCACGGCAAUUGGUUCAAUUGGGCACCUGUUUGACUCAUGGAAUUUAAAGCUGAAGUCCCACACUGUGCUCACUGGGUCUGACCUCACGGACAAUACAAAAUGCAGAAAUGAACCAGAUGCAGUAUGCGGUGCUUUUUGGAGAUGGAUCUUUAUGGAUUUGAAUGUCUCUAGAUUUCCACAAGUGUGAAUUUAAGAGGGCACAACAACUCUGGAUGAAGUCAAUGAAACACCUAGGCUCCAGACUGACCAUGGGUUUUCCCCAGAUUCUGAGCAUCGCACUCCACCAGCAGGUCUCUCCUAACCCAGGCUGCAGAGGGGACCAGCCUCCUGUUCCCCUCGCACCCCUAUUGGAGGAGGUUCCCUUCAGGCUCCAGGAAGACUAGAUGCUUUAGGAAAUGUGAUUUGAAGACUGAAAAAAUACUUACUUUAGAAACAGUUUCGCUAUUUUCUUUGUAUCCCUCUAUGAAAUGAAUUAAGUCCAUUA